CCUACGGGUGGCAGCAGUGGGGAAUAUUGCACAAUGGGGGAAACCCUGAUGCAGCAACGCCGCGUGAGUGAAGAAGUACUUCGGUAUGUAAAGCUCUAUCAGCAGGGAAGAGAAUGACGGUACCUGACUAAGAAGCGACGGGUAACUACGGGCCAGCAGCCGCGGUCAUACGUAGGGGGCGAGCGGUAUCCGGAUUUAUUGGGUGUAAAGGGAGCGUAGACGGUGCUGCAAGUUUGAAGUGAAAGCCCGUGGCUUAACCGCGGAACGGCUUUUGAAACUGGGGGACUGGAGUGCUGGAGAGGCAGGCGGAAUGCCUGGUGUAGCGGUGAAAUGCGUAGAUAUUAGGAGGAACACCGAUGGCGAAGGCAGCUUGCUGGACAGUUACUGACGUUGAGGCUCGAAAGCGUGGGGAGCGAACAGGAUUAGAUACCCUGGUAGUC
rnacentral:rRNA from 1 species